AGAGAUAGAGCAACUCUGUUUUGUUUCUGUUUAGAAUUAUAACUCCUGUUUUGAGUUCUCACAUGAAAGUCUGCAAGACCUAACUCAGCAGUAUCACAUUUUAAACCGCUCUGGUUUAAAUUCGCUUAUUUGGAACACAGAACAGUCUGGCAUUUAUGUGUUCAAAGUGAAGAUGCUGGAUCCAAACUUCAGUUUUUGUGACUUGAAAACAUUCUUUGCAGUCCAUACUUACGGCAUAGUAGAAAGUCCAGACAUUGCCAAGACCAUUAUGUUUUCAAUCUUUGUACUGUCCCUGUUUUUGGGAAUACUUGUCUUAAGCUACUUCAGAUAUGCAAGGAUUUUUCAGACAAUCAGAUACGUUGAUCCACUGCCAUCCCCUGGCCUGCAAGAUCAUACAAAAGAGGCAUCACAGGACUUAAAGAAGGACCAAUAACCUGUUUAUUUACUGUAUAGGUGACAUUCUAUGUAUAGAAAUUAUAAGAACACUGUAACGUUUAAAAUAAUUUAAGUAUGGUUGGAUUAAGUGUUGUUUUCAUAAGCAGCUUUCCACAUACUAAAACUAGCAUGAUUAAUAUGUUUCCAGUUUGAGGGACAUAAAUUAUGCUCUCAUUCAUUUCUUAACCCCAUCUUUCCCCGGGAGCAUCCAGUGAGUAUUAUCUCCUCUUCACCAAUGUAAGUCAACCAUGUUGCUUUUUUCAAAUAACUCUCAAGACCAGAUCAUCAGCUGGGGUAAACUGGAGCUGUUCCACUGUAUAAUCCAUUUACAUUAGCUGAUUAUCUGAACCUGAGAUUUAAACAAUUCAUUAUAUUUUAAACAGAUGAGACCCUCAUUUAAAAAUAUUUUUCAGAACCUUGGUAGAUAAGACGGCUUUUAAAGUAUUCUGACAACUGUGAUUCUAAUGCCUAUGUACUGUAUUUUUAUAGCAAAUAGUAGAUACAGCUCUGACAAUGUGACCACAAUUUUAGUACAAAAAUAUUGACUGUAAUUUAGAGUCCUGUUAAAACUUGAAAGAACUUAGCUAUUCAAAAAAAGCAUACAUCUUUCAUCUAAGUGGUAUACUUUUGAAAAGCUUCAAAAGAGGAUCAAUUCACAUCAACUGUCAAAGCUUAAUAAAUCCAGAUUCAGCAAACUUUAUAUUUCCA
rnacentral:lncRNA from 1 species